AUUGAACGCUGGCGGCAGGCCUAACACAUGCAAGUCGAGCGAGCGGCGGACGGGUGAGUAAUGUAUGGGGACUGCCCGAUAGAGGGGGAUAACUACUGGAAACGGUGGCUAAAACCCCCUACUCUCGGAUAACCCAUCUGGGAUUAGCUGGUUGGGGGGGUAAUGGCUACCCUAGGCGACGAUCCCUAGCUGGUCUGAGAGGAUGACCAGCCACACUGGGACUGAGACACGGCCCAGACUCCUACGGAGGCAGCAGUGGGGAAUAUUGCACAAUGGGCGCAAGCCUGAUGCAGCCAUGCCGCGUGUAUGAAGAAGGCCUUAGGGUUGUAAAGUACUUUCAGCGGGGAGGCGUUACCCGCAGAAGAAGCACCGGCUAACUCCGUGCCAGCAGCCGCGGUAAUUC
rnacentral:rRNA from 1 species